rnacentral:rRNA from 1 species
UACAGAGGUCUCAAGCGUUGUUCGGAUUCAUUGGGCGUAAAGGGUGUGUAGGUGGCGCGCUAAGUCGGGUGUGAAAUUUCGGAGCUUAACUCCGAAACUGCAUUCGAUACUGGCGUGCUUGAGGACUGGAGAGGAGACUGGAAUUUACGGUGUAGCAGUGAAAUGCGUAGAUAUCGUAAGGAAGACCAGUGGCGAAGGCGGUUCUCUGGGCCUGUACUGACGCUGAGGAGCGAAAGCGUGGGGAGCGAACAGG